GACGAACGCUGGCGGCGUGCUUAACACAUGCAAGUCGAACGGAAAGGCCCUGCUUUUGUGGGGUGCUCGAGUGGCGAACGGGUGAGUAACACGUGAGUAACCUGCCCUUGACUUUGGGAUAACUUCAGGAAACUGGGGCUAAUACCGGAUAGGAGCUCCUGCUGCAUGGUGGGGGUUGGAAAGUUUCGGCGGUUGGGGAUGGACUCGCAGCUUAUCAGCUUGUUGGUGGGGUAGUGGCUUACCAAGGCUUUGACGGGUAGCCGGCCUGAGAGGGUGACCGGCCACAUUGGGACUGAGAUACGGCCCAGACUCCUACGGGAGGCAGCAGUGGGGAAUAUUGCACAAUGGGCGGAAGCCUGAUGCAGCAACGCCGCGUGCGGGAUGACGGCCUUCGGGAUGUAAACCGCUUUCGCCUGUGACGAAGCGUGAGUGACGGUAAUGGGUAAAGAAGCACCGGCUAACUACGUG
rnacentral:rRNA from 1 species